rnacentral:rRNA from 1 species
CAGCCGCCACGGGAAUACAGAGGGUGCAAGCGUUAAUCGGAUUUACUGGGCGUAAAGGGCGCGUAGGUGGUUAUGUAAGUGAGAUGUGAAAUCCCCGGGCUCAACCUGGGAACUGCAUCUUAUACUGCGUAGCUGGAGUGCAGUAGAGGGUAGUGGAAUUUCCGGUGUAGCGGUGAAAUGCGUAGAUAUCGGAAGGAACACCAGUGGCGAAGGCGGCUACCUGGACUGACACUGACACUGAGGCGCGAAAGCGUGGGGAGCAAACAGGAUUAGAGACCCGCGUAGUCCCUGUCUCUUAUAC